UUAAUUGAAGCCAAAAAGAGGCUUUUUAUUGUUAAUAAAAAAAUUGAUUUAACUCCAUCCAAUUAAA
rnacentral:tRNA from 1 species